GGAUUAGAUACCCUGGUAGUCCUAGCUGUAAACGAUGGAUACUAAGUGUCGGGUGCACUGUUAGCAGGGUAUUCGGUGCUGAAGCUAACGCGUUAAGUAUCCCGCCUGGGGAGUACGUCCGCAAGGAUGAAACUCAAAGGAAUUGACGGGGGCCCGCACAAGCGGUGGAGCAUGUGGUUUAAUUCGAUCAACGCGAAGAACCUUACCAGGAAUUGACAUAUUCGUUGGUUUUUUAGAAAUAGAAAACUGUUAAAGAAAUAAAGGUGGUGCAUGGCUGUCGUCAGCUCGUGUUG
rnacentral:rRNA from 1 species